rnacentral:rRNA from 1 species
GAUGAACGCUGGCGGCGUGCCUAAUACAUGCAAGUCGAGCGAACGGACGAGAAGCUUGCUUUUCUGAUGUUAGCGGCGGACGGGUGAGUAACACGUGGAUAACCUACCUAUAAGACUGGGAUAACUUCGGGAAACCGGAGCUCAUACCGGAUAAUAUUUUGAACCGCAUGGUUCAAAAGUGAAAGACCGUCUUGCUGUCACUUAUAGAUGGAUCCGAGCUGCAUUAGCUAGUUGGUAAGGUAACGGCUUACCAAGGCAACGAUGCAUAGCCGACCUGAGAGGGUGAUCAGCCACACUGGAACUGAGACACGGUCCAGACUCCUACGGGAGGCAGCAGUAGGGAAUCUUCCGCAAUGGGCGAAAGCCUGACGGAGCAACGCCGCGUGAGUGAUGAAGGUCUUCGGAUCGUAAAACUCUGUUAUUAGGGAAGAACAUAUGUGUAAGUAACUGUGCACAUCUUGACGGUACCUAAUCAGAAAGCCACGGCUAACUACGUG